ACAAUGAGACAAUGGAUAUCCAUAGAAAUCCUCAGAGCAUCUUCAGUAUUUUCCAGCAAUAUUGGAACUUGGUGCAAAUCACUGUGCCUACAGAUUUUGAUGGAGCUGCCCAGAUCAAGAAAAAGACAGCAAUUUUUGUCAUUUUCACAGUAGAGAACCUAUAAAAAUAUAUAUGUAUAUAUACAUAUAUUAAUUUUUGGUGUAAUUCGAGACAAAUUCCAAGCACUGAGUUUUUGACAUCUUAAAGGCCGAACUAAAUAGUAAAAUCAUCAUCUUUUGGAACAUUUUCUCUAAGUUUCAAAAGUGGUAGUAGACAACACAGGACCCUCUCUUUUCAAGAAAAUAUAAGCACUUUGUAAUUAUUUUGUUGGAGAAGUGAUCAAACAGACUGGUAUAGUUUAGCAUCAGAAUGAGAUAUUUUCUGAGAAAACCUUGAUUGGGACAAAUGGUUAUUUGUCAUUGUUAUUCUGACUCCAUGAUUCUUCUUUUCCUCCUCCCUGCCUUCUCUCUGUAGCCAGCCCACAGGGUCUCUGGAGGUAGGGACAGUGUCCCAUCUUUGGUACCAUCCACCAAUGCCUACAACAGUGCAGGGGCUGCAGAGGGUAUUCAAAAAUGCUUCUCUGUUGUCUCCAGCCCUUCAAGGUCUUCACAAAUGUAAAUGUUAAUAUUUUAAAUAAUUGUUCAUACAAUUAUUAGUAACAACUGUAAGAGGAAAUUCCUUCCCAACCAACCAGAGAUUCUAUGCUCUAGUGAAUCUGGAACCUGGGUUUUCCAAAUAACUUUACAUUUGCCAUGGGCUGUUCUGAGAAUCUAUCUAUGGAAGCCUUUUUUUAAAAAAAGAAGCAAGGCAUAGAAUGCAAUCAUCUUCUCUAGUGCUGAGCUCAAUUUCUGCUAGUAUGCCUUACAUACAGUAGACAUGCAUCGUUGUACUAAAAGAGUAACUACAGAAAUGAUGGUACCCUGCUCCUACUAUUCAAAACAAAACUGAAUGUUUCUAUUUAUUUUUGCUUAUUAUUAUUUGUACUGUAUAUGUUGGUGGAAAGGAAAUAGUUAUUAAAAUCAUUCACCACCAGAGGCUCUAGCUUUCUCAAGCACGAGUCAAACCUGAAUAAACCAUAUCCUUCUGCAUGAAACAGUCCUCAGGAUUUCCAAGUGUCUGAUGGGAACGCUUCUCACCAGGCUUGGGGUUA
rnacentral:lncRNA from 10 species